rnacentral:rRNA from 1 species
GAUGAACGCUGGCGGCGUGCCUAAUACAUGCAAGUCGAGCGAACAGAUGAGGAGCUUGCUCCUCUGACGUUAGCGGCGGACGGGUGAGUAACACGUGGAUAACCUCCCUAUAAGACUGGGAUAACUUCGGGAAACCGGAGCUAAUACCGGAUAAUAUAUUGAACCGCAUGGUUCAAUAGUGUAAGACGGUUUUGCUGUCACUUAUAGAUGGAUCCGCGCCGCAUUAGCUAGUUGGUAAGGUAACGGCUUACCAAGGCAACGAUGCGUAGCCGACCUGAGAGGGUGAUCGGCCACACUGGAACUGAGACACGGUCCAGACUCCUACGGGAGGCAGCAGUAGGGAAUCUUCCGCAAUGGGCGAAAGCCUGACGGAGCAACGCCGCGUGAGUGAUGAAGGUCUUCGGAUCGUAAAACUCUGUUAUUAGGGAAGAACAAAUGUGUAAGUAACUAUGCACGUCUUGACGGUACCUAAUCAGAAAGCCACGGCUAACUACGUG